AGAGUUUGAUCCUGGCUCAGAACGAACGCUGGCGGCGUGCUUAACACAUGCAAGUCGAACGAGAAGUACGUAGCAAUACGUAUUGUAAAGUGGCGCACGGGUGAGUAACACGUGGGUAAUCUGCCCUCGAGUUUGGGAUAACCCCGCGAAAGCGGGGCUAAUACCGAAUAAGACCACGGGGACCAAAGUCCCUGAGGUAAAAGAUGGCCUCUAUUUAUAAGCUAUCACUUAAGGAUGAGCCCGCGGCCCAUUAGCUAGUUGGUAGGGUAACGGCCUACCAAGGCUAUGAUGGGUAGCUGGUCUGAGAGGACGAUCAGCCACACUGGAACUGAGACACGGUCCAGACUCCUACGGGAGGCAGCAGUGGGGAAUAUUGCGCAAUGGGCGAAAGCCUGACGCAGCAACGCCGCGUGGGGGAUGAAGGUUUUCGGAUUGUAAACCCCUUUCGAUCGGAACGAAUCUCCUCCUGGUAAAUAAUCAGGAGGAUCGACGGUACCGAGAGAAGAAGCCACGGCUAACUCUGUGCCAGCAGCCGCGGUAAGACAGAGGUGGCGAGCGUUGUUCGGAUUUAUUGGGCGUAAAGCGAACGCAGGUGGUUUGGUAAGUCAGGGGUGAAAGUCCACAGCUUAACUGUGGCACUGCCUUUGAUACUGCCUUUCUUGAGUGCAUGAGGGGGAAGCGGAAUUCCGAGUGUAGAGGUGAAAUUCGUAGAUAUUCGGAGGAACACCGGUGGCGAAGGCGGCUUCCUGGCAUGUAACUGACACUCAUGUUCGAAAGCGUGGGUAGCAAACAGGAUUAGAUACCCUGGUAGUCCACGCCCUAAACGAUGGGCACUAGGUGUGGGAGGUAUCGACCCCUUCCGUGCCGCAGCUAACGCAUUAAGUGCCCCGCCUGGGGAGUACGGCCGCAAGGUUAAAACUCAAAGGAAUUGACGGGGGCCCGCACAAGCGGUGGAGCAUGUGGUUUAAUUCGACGCAACGCGAAGAACCUUACCUGGGCUUGACAUCUGGGGAACCUCAUGGAAACAUGGGGGUGCGGAGCAAUCCGAGCCCCAAGACAGGUGCUGCAUGGCUGUCGUCAGCUCGUGUCGUGAGAUGUUGGGUUAAGUCCCGCAACGAGCGCAACCCUUG
rnacentral:rRNA from 1 species